rnacentral:lncRNA from 1 species
CUGGCUUUGCUGCCCACAGUGGUGUCUCCUCUCGGUCUGGUUGGUUUCGGCCGGUCCAAUGCGAAAGCUUGUAAAACUCAAGGUUAGGUGGCCUCUAUUGGCAGAAAAAAUGAAAAAAAUGAAACUUAUUGACGAUUAGAUUUCCCGGUGCGGUGGCUCCGCCAUUCCUCCCUUGCAGUCGGGGAUUCGGUCGCCCUGCACCAGAAAAGAGUUAGGAAUCCAAUGAUCAAAAAAUGGAAGAAAACAAAAGGGGGAUUCGGGCUCAUCAAAAGGGUUUUGGGUCGCGGGUGCGGCAGCUCGGCCGAGUUCCGCCCUCUGUUUCUAGCUUCUUCUUUGGUUUUUUGGUGCCCAUAU